AGAAAGCUGAGCAGAAUGGAUCUAAUCUGAUUCCUCCACCCAGAAGCCCUUAAAAUGCAGCUUUGUUUUAAGCCUUCUUGAAGAUUUGGGCUAGAUCUAGAAAAGAACCUCACCACGGAGGAUGUGCAAAGUACAACACGUGACCCCGGAGACGGAAGCUCUUCUCUACCUCCGUAAAGAUGAUCUCUGAUGAACAGACAUGAUCAUGCCUGGAGAACAGGGAUGGACAGUCCCGCUUCUGAAAGACCCUGUCUGGCUGAUGAUUCAUGGUGCGCCGGGCAGACCCCAGGCCAAGAGACCCCACCCACAGUACCUGAGUGCUCAGCUGGGAACCAGACCAGACCUCAAAACAGACCAGCCCCCCAGCAUUGACCUGGAUGCCUGCCACAGCCUCCUCCCUGGUCUCCGGCCUCCCACCUCUGCUCCUCGGUCUCCUCUACCCAGCCAGUAACUGCAGAGAGCACUAAAGCACAGUCCUGGCAUCUCACCCCCUUAACCCUGGCCACGGCUUCCCAGUGCCUCCAAGAUAAAGCACCAACACCUGAGGACAGCAGCUUGUUUUGAGAGUCCCCUCCAUUGAAACACGCACAUCUAAUUUGUCCUUCAGUUCGCUGGACUCCACGCUGAACGUGCCAUGCUCCAUUGCCCCGUGAGUAACUCCAUGCUCUUGCCGGUUUCACACGGCCUCUCAGAGCUGGAGCCUUUGUUCAGGAGCCCUGGGCAGCUUUCAGGAAGCUCUUGGGCUCAUCAGCUUCCUCUGGCUGAAGCCGCCCCAGUGGAAUCAUGGGGAUUUCUUACUUUGAAGGUGGGGCCACCCGCAGACUGUAACCGGCUGGUUCAAGAUCAAGGACUUCCCCAGGCCACCUGCCUCAGAGGCAAGAAAGGCUCAGCUGAGUCCCAGACACUCCUCGCUGUGGCCCCUCCUUCCUCCCUGCUGGGCAGGCCCCCCUCAAUUCUGUUUGCCAGCAGGGCCUAGUAACACUGAAAGACGAAAAGGGAAAUAAAAUAAACACAAUUAAUAGGCUAAAGGUUACUGAAUAAAGUGGCAGCAGUAAAUAAAUUGACUACUGUGCAAAUACAAAGACAUGAAGACAUGAAACCCCUGCUCUAAAUGACCACUCACCAAGAGCAAGGCCUGGGCUGGAGGCAGGGAGCACCUCCCUAAGGAGCACUCCCUCUUUCCCGGAGUGAGUCCUCCUUCUAGAUGGAAUUCAGUCCGGGUUCCUCUUGAGCCACAGUCCCUGUUGGGGCCUAUCUCAGUGGACUCAAGAUCCUGAACUUCUUCCAGAUUGCUGACUACACAUUUGAGUCACCCAGAGAUUAAAAGAAAAAACAAAUAAUUUCCCAGUGAUCAGGAGUAAAUCAGCUGGGGCAGGG
rnacentral:lncRNA from 1 species